rnacentral:rRNA from 1 species
UAAUUUAAGGUUUAACCUGCCCACUGAAAUUUUAAAUGGCCGUGGUAUUUUGACCGUGCUAAGGUAGCAUAAUCAUUAGUUUUUUAAUUAGAAACUGGAAUGAAAGGUUGGAUAAGAAAAUAGCUGUCUCUGUUAAAUUUAAUUAGAAUUUUAUAUUUAAGUUAAAAAGCUUAGUUAUUAUUAAAAGACGAGAAGACCCUAUAGAGUUUAAUUAUUUAAUAAAAAUUAUAUUUUAGUAUUUAUUUAUUUAUUUUAUUAAAUAAUUUAAUUGGGGUGAUUGAAAAAUUUAACUAACUUUUUUUAUUUAAGAACAUUAAUUUAUGAAUGUAUGAUCCAAUAUUUUUGAUUAUAAGAUAAAAUUACCUUAGGGAUAACAGAGUAAUUUUUUUAGAAAGUUCAUAUUAAAAAAAAAGAUUGCGACCUCGAUGUUGGAUUAAAAUAAAUUUUUGGUGUAGAAGCUAAAAUAUUAGGUAUGUUCGACCUUUAAAAUUUUA